rnacentral:rRNA from 1 species
AGAGUUUGAUCCUGGCUCAGGAUGAACGCUGGCGGUCUGCUUAACACAUGCAAGUCGAACGGAAUCUUUCGGGAUUUAGUGGCGGACGGGUGAGUAACGCGUGAGAAUCUGCCUUCAGGUUCGGGACAACAGCUGGAAACGGCUGCUAAUACCGGAUGUGCCGAGAGGUGAAAGCUUUAGUGCCUGGAGAUGAGCUCGCGUCUGAUUAGCUAGUAGGAGUGGUAACGGCACCCCCAGGCGACGAUCAGUAGCUGGUCUGAGAGGAUGAUCAGCCACACUGGGACUGAGACACGGCCCAGACUCCUACGGGAGGCAGCAGUGGGGAAUUUUCCGCAAUGGGCGCAAGCCUGGCGGAGCAAGACCGCGUGAGGGAAGAAGGUCUGUGGAUUGUAAACCUCUUUUGAUAGGGAAGAAGAUAGUGACGGUGCCUAUCGAAUCAGCCUCGGCUAACUCCGUGCCAGCAGCCGCGGUAAUACGGAGGAGGCAAGCGUUAUCCGGAAUUAUUGGGCGUAAAGAGUCCGUAGGUGGGUGACCAAGUCAGUUGUUAAAUAGUGAAGCUUAACUUCAUAGAGGCGACUGAAACUGGUCAUCUAGAGUGUGGUAGGGGUAGAGGGAAUUUCCAGUGUAGCGGUGAAAUGCGUAGAUAUUGGAAAGAACACCGGUGGCGAAAGCGCUCUACUGGGCCUGCACUGACACUGAGGGACGAAAGCUAGGGGAGCGAAAGGGAUUAGAUACCCCUGUA